AGUAGCUAGCUGACCUUGACUGAAUUGGAAAAGCUAAAGUAAUCGGGUCUGGUUAGUACUCAGAUGGAGGAACCACCUGGAAUAGCAGGGCUGGCAAGUC
rnacentral:rRNA from 1 species